GAUGAAGAACGUAGCGAAAUGCGAUAAGUAGUGUGAAUUGCAGAAUUCAGUGAAUCAUCGAAUCUUUGAACGCACAUUGCGCCCCUUGGUAUUCCAUGGGGCAUGCCUGUUCGAGCGUCAUUUGUACCUUCAAGCUUUGCUUGGUGUUGGGUGUUUGUCUCGCCUUUGCGUGUAGACUCGCCUUAAAAUAAUUGGCAGCCGGCCUACUGGUUUCGGAGCGCAGCACAAGUCGCACUCUCUAUCAGCAAAGGUCUAGCAUCCAUUAAGCCUUUUUUUCAACUUUUGACCUCGGAUCAGGUAGGGAUACCCGCUGAACUUAAGCAUAUCAAUAAGCGGAGGA
rnacentral:misc_RNA from 1 species